UGCAAGUCGAGCGGUAGAGAGAAGCUUGCUUCUCUUGAGAGCGGCGGACGGGUGAGUAAUGCCUAGGAAUCUGCCUAGUGGUGGGGGAUAACGUUCGGAAACGGACGCUAAUACCGCAUACGUCCUACGGGAGAAAGCGGGGGAUCUUCGGACCUCGCGCCAUUAGAUGAGCCUAGGUCGGAUUAGCUAGUUGGUGAGGUAAUGGCUCACCAAGGCGACGAUCCGUAACUGGUCUGAGAGGAUGAUCAGUCACACUGGAACUGAGACACGGUCCAGACUCCUACGGGAGGCAGCAGUGGGGAAUAUUGGACAAUGGGCGAAAGCCUGAUCCAGCCAUGCCGCGUGUGUGAAGAAGGUCUUCGGAUUGUAAAGCACUUUAAGUUGGGAGGAAGGGCAGUAACCUAAUACGUUAUUGUUUUGACGUUACCGACAGAAUAAGCACCGGCUAACUUCGUGCCAGCAGCCGCGGUAAUACGAAGGGUGCAAGCGUUAAUCGGAAUUACUGGGCGUAAAGCGCGCGUAGGUGGUUCAGUAAGUUGGAAGUGAAAUCCCCGGGCUCAACCUGGGAACUGCUUUCAAAACUGCUGAGCUAGAGUACGGUAGAGGGUGGUGGAAUUUCCUGUGUAGCGGUGAAAUGCGUAGAUAUAGGAAGGAACACCAGUGGCGAAGGCGACCACCUGGACUGAUACUGACACUGAGGUGCGAAAGCGUGGGGAGCAAACAGGAUUAGAUACCCUG
rnacentral:rRNA from 1 species